GAUCACACUUUUUCACAGCUCAGAUUGGCAUGUUGGUGAACUUAUUAGCUUAGAUUUCACGUUAUUCAUGCCUACAUGAGCUGCAUACAACUGCUCUAAUCGGUAGGAUGUGGACGGACAUUGCAUUCAUUCCCAUUCAGCCGUUGGACUGAACCGGUACUGUAACACAGUAUGGAUGGUCAAUAUGAAGCGAGCUUCAUUGAAUUCCUCCAAGAGCUCUGUACUCCGUUUUGCUCAUUUUGAAGAUGGUUGCUUUGACAGGACUGGGCAAGUGACUCGUCUUAGACAGGAUGCUUUCCCAAUCAUAUUUGAUUUCCUGCCUCGUCUUCAGAAGAUUCCCAUUCAGCCGUUGGACUGAACCGGUACUGUAACACAGUAUGGAUGGUCAAUAUGAAGCGAGCUUCAUUGAAUUCCUCCAAGAGCUCUGUACUCCGUUUUGCUCAUUUUGAAGAUGGUUGCUUUGACAGGACUGGGCAAGUGACUCGUCUUAGACAGGAUGCUGUCCCAACCAUAUUUGAUUU